GAUGAACGCUGGCGGCGUGCCUAGUACAUGCAAGUCGAGCGAACAGACGAGGAGCUUGCUCCUCUGACGUUAGCGGCGGACGGGUGAGUAACACGUGGAUAACCUACCUAUAAGACUGGGAUAACUUCGGGAAACCGGAGCUAAUACCGGAUAAUAUAUUGAACCGCAUGGUUCAAUAGUGAAAGACGGUUUUGCUGUCACUUAUAGAUGGAUCCGCGCCGCAUUAGCUAGUUGGUAAGGUAACGGCUUACCUAGGCAACGAUGCGUAGCCGACCUGAGAGGGUGAUCGGCCACACUGGAACUGAGACACGGUCCAGACUCCUACGGGAGGCAGCAGUAGGGAAUCUUCCGCAAUGGGCGAAAGCUUGACGGAGCAACGCCGCGUGAGUGAUGAAGGUCUUCGGAUCGUAAAACUCUGUUAUUAGGGAAGAACAAAUGUGUAAGUAACUAUGCACGUCUUGACGGUACCUAAUCAGAAAGCCACGGCUAACUACGUG
rnacentral:rRNA from 1 species